UUGGAUUUGUGUCCUAGAAGUCAAUUGUUGGCUGACACAUUAUGUAUUUUCAGGAUCUAAAUUUAUACUUGUAAUACUUUCAUUAUAAAUAGAGGAUUUUUUCUUUCCAAUCAUGCUAUGUGUCCAUGAUUUGUCCUAGAAUUAACAAAGAUGAUUUUUGUAUAUUCUUAAAGAGUUAAGAAUUUGAGACAUACAUUAAUUAGUGGUUAAUUUUUAAAUACUCCCGAUCAAGGGAUCAUCACGGAGGACAGUGAUCAAUCCAUUUAAGAUCGGUGCAUGGUUUACC
rnacentral:lncRNA from 1 species